rnacentral:misc_RNA from 1 species
GAUGAAGAACGUAGCGAAAUGCGAUAAGUAAUGUGAAUUGCAGAAUUCAGUGAAUCAUCGAACCUUUGAACGCACAUUGCGCCCGCCAGUAUUCUGGCGGGCAUGCCUGUUCGAGCGUCAUUUCAACCAUCAAGCCCCAGGCUUGUGUUGGAGCCCUGCGGCUGCCGCAGCCUCCCAAAACCAGUGGCGGGCUCGCUAUCACACCGAGUGCAGUAGUUUACUCUUCGCUCAGGGCGUGUGGCGGGUGCUAGCCGUAAAACCCCCAACUUCUCAAGGUUGACCUCGGAUCAGGUAGGAAUACCCGCUGAACUUAAGCAUAUCAAGCGGAGGA